rnacentral:lncRNA from 1 species
GGUACGCCCGUCCCGCUCCGCAGGGGCAGAGGGGGAGGGGAUGAAGCUGCCCGGCGCCAUUUUGCUUGUGGGCUGCCGCCCGCCGUUGCCUCUCCGCGGAGGCUCGAAGAUAGCAAACUGGAGGCGGUGAGGGGGACGGAAUCUCUGUCUUUCUGACAACAGAUGCAUUCAACAAUCCACCGAAGGUUUGAGGAAGUGUCGGUAUUCGGUGGGACUGGUUCUUUCCCCCUUUCCCCCAGUGGCCCUCAAGUCUGGAUAUAGGUGAGCUUGGGCAUGCCAGUAUUGGGUGCACGAACAAGGACAGCAGGGCUUGGGAACGAACUCCCUCCCGUCACCCUCCGAAAGCGAUACACCUUCUCCCCCUCCCAAACAACCCCAGUCCCGUCUCCCCGUUCCUCUCCCCCUCCUCCCCCAGCCCAGUCUGGCCUCCAGCGCUGGGUGAACCCGGUUGGGGUGUCACUCGACGCCCACUAGGGGCUGAGGAGGCUCCAGUGCGCAGGCUCCGGGCACCGGAUAAAAGCGGAGCUGGCGAGUCUAGUGCUGUCUCGAUGGAGGAGCAAGAAACGGAAGAGGUCGGGGGGAGAAGCAGCCGGAAAAAUGCAGCCACCGUCAACGCCGCCUCCCUGCCACCGUGCUUCGGGGUAAAAAGCUGCCGUUGCCGUCGGUGCAGUUGCCGUCGCUGCCUCCUAUACUUCUCUUGGCCUCGGGGAAGGAUUUCCCCACCGGUGGGACAAUGUGCGGGGAGGGGAGUGGGAAUUCCUUUAUAUGGCGGUGAUUAAACGAGGGAGGGACAGACAGUGAUCUCGAAGAAAAAAGGGGGAGACCAAAGAAUAAAAGAAGGGUUUCCCCACUAAAAUGACACGGCGAUUCCGGCUCUUGUUUUGGGGGUCUUUCCCCGAAAUGGUUUCCGUCUUCCCCUUGCCCCGCAGCGACCCAGAGCGCUGGGGGAAGCGGAGUGGGGAGAGGCAGAGGCGGUCUCGGCAGCCAAUCAGCGCCUGAUGUGUCCUGUCGGGCGCGUCGUGGUUGGCUGGCGAUGACCUCAUCCUGCAGCAGCGGGUGGGGCCAAAGCCGUAGGGGGAGGCUGUUGCAAAGGUAGAGAGGGAGAAGUGACGAUGGUGAUCGUUGCUGCCGCGGCCGAUAUGGAACCCAAGCAGUGGCGAAGGGAAUCGCAAGGCUCUUCCCUGACCAUUUUCUACUGUCCCUGCGCGAGGUGAGGGCCCCGGCUCGGCCUCUGCAAAACUUUGGGGCGCUGGCGCGGAGGAGGAGACAGGAUUUCUCCCGUGACUUUUGUAACUGCGUCAGGGCAAGAUGGCGCUGGGUCUCUUUGGGGCGCGGGGGGAGAGGCACGUCCACCGCCGCAGCGCAUGUGACCGGGCUGCAUUCCUGUGGGGUUUGGCUCCGACCCAGGCCGGGGCGGGGGAGGGGACAGGGCUUGGGCGGAGGAGACUGUGGUGCGGUCGGCGUUGGCGGCCUGAAGAGGAAGAGAUGACUGUUGGAAAGCGUUCCCCUCCCCCAUACGGCAGAACAGCUGCGGCUCCCAGGGGAAAGCCCCCGCAGGACAGUCCUCGUGGGGUGUGACGGCUGUUGGUGGAGAAGGUUUGGCGCCCUAUUUUCUUAUCUGCCUUUCUCCCCGCAAAGUAUACUUAUGUAAGGUGGUAGUUCCCUGACGUGGGACUCGGAAUCAACUAGGAGUCCUUGAGGGCCUCUGGGAGGCCUAGCGAGGGGUAGACCAGCUUCUGGGGGUACAACGUCAAGGAGGAUCGAUUACUUUCUGAGGAAACAGUUUCUCAGAUUGAAAUAGAAAAGUAUUUCCAAAGUUUGGAAACAAAUUUAAAGGUGUAAAUAACACCCAGGAACACUUUAAUUGCUUUGAAAAGGCAUAAGCAGCCAUCUGAAUUUAAGGGCCCUUUUCAGACUCUUCCUUCCUCCUGUGAUUCCUGUUCUUUAUUUCAGUUUUCUGUCUGUACAUCCCUUAAGAAUAUAGUUUUGUCGGUGGGAUUCGCUCUUUUGUGCCCAGGCUGGAGUGCAGAGGCGAGAUCUCGGCCCACUGCAACCUCCGCCUCCCCGGGUUCAGGCGAGUCUCCUGCCUCAGCCUCCCAGGUAGCUGGGAUUACAGGCGCCCACAACCACACCCUGCUAAUUUUUUCUAUUUUUAGUAGAGACGGGGUUUCACCCCAUUGACCAGGCUGGUCUCGAACUCUCGAGAUCCGCCCGUCUCAGCUUCCCAAAGUGCUGGGAUUAUAGGCAUGAGCCACCGCGCCGGGCCUGCUUUUUUUUUUUUUUUUUUUUUUUGCACUGGGCAUUAGUAAUACGGAAUAAAAGCCGUGUUUUAAACUGUAUUAAGUUGUAAGACUUUUCAGUACUUUCAAGUCUGCUUUCUUUCUGUUGCCCUUUUGUAGUUUUUAAAAAUAAAAGAUGCAAUUAUAAGCACUUCCGGUGAAUAUUAUUCCUUAAGGUUCCUGCAUCAUCAUGAAAUUUGAAGCACUUUUAUAGUAGUACAAACUAUACUUUUAGCUUUUGAAAUCUCGAUAGGAGAAAAUAUCCAGCAGUUUUAGGGGCUAUUUUGGCAUAUUCAUUAAGGUAGACUAAGUUUGUUUUUCGUUUUUCCCACUUAGCCAAACUAGUUAAAGUAGUCAAAACUAGCAAAUAAUUUUUAAAGGGCUUCUCCUUUUGGGUGGUGUAGAGGGUGGGGAGUUAUUCAACAAACACAUUUGCAGCCAAAAUCUGGCCUACUUCUUGGCAGAGCGCUUAUACUUGGUGCUACGAGAAAAUGAUUGCUGGACCUGAAAAGAACCUGAGGUCAAGGUUGUGCUAUUUCCUUAAGUCUUAGUUGUAGGCUCUUGGUAGUUUGAAAACAAGAUUGGGUUUUUAAUUCAUUUGUGUAUCCUUAAAUCCUCACUAGUUUUUGUGGAUUUCUUUUUUCAGUUAUAAGCAACUGAAUGUGGAUGAGCUAUAAAUAUUUAGUACAAAGAAUGUAAUUUGUCCACUCUGAAUAGAAAGUAAGCAUUAAGAACUCUUGAAUGUCUUCAAGGGUUACUUUGUUACGUGUAAGAUGUCUCCCCUUCCUUCAUAGCAGUUUUUAUUCCUGCUUAAAAAGGGAACUAAAUAUGAAGUCAGUAGAUUUUAAGGUAAUUUUCAGAAUGUUUCUACUUUCACCGUGCCUUAAUAAGGAAAAAAGGCCAUUUUCCAAGCGAAUGGAAACACCCUUUCCUUGUUUUGUGCCUUUAAUCAGCGUGUACCUUCAUUGUUCCUGAUUGCCAAAUCCACGAACUUCUUGAGCUCUCAAUUUUUCUUGACUUUCCUAUGGCAUUUUAAAUACUGUUCAUACUUGGAAUUACUUUUCUUUGACUGCCUUCAUACAUUCAUAUAUUCUGCCUGGGCAAUUUCAUUUGGGCCUAUUAUGUUCCAAUACCUCUCCAAUUUUCACCUCCAUCUUAGCUCUGCCAGCUUCAGUGCCACAGGUAGGCAAUGUAAAAGUUUACUGGGGACCACAGGCUUUCUGAGCUCAAUAAAAAUACUAAGCUUGGUACUUGUUUUUUAAGAAUUUUCUUCCCCCAUCCCCUCACAAAGAUUAUUUGAGUAAAUUACACCCCAACCUCC